rnacentral:rRNA from 1 species
CUUGGUUUGGUGAUCAUAGCGCCAAUGAAACACCCGAUCCCAUCCCGAACUCGGAAGUUAAGCAUGGUCGCGCCGAUGGUACUGCAGCUCAAGCUGUGGGAGAGUAGGUCAUCGCCAAUCCUAGAUAGAUUAAUAUCUCUCAGACGAUAACAAU